AUGUUAGUGCACAGUAAAACAGAGCUGCAAAGACGACCUGUAAGAGCUGAUGACCAAAAGGUUAUAAGUCAGCAAUUGCAAACAACACUACCAAGGGCACUCUAUCUUAAGAAAAUGGAAAACCUGAAGCAAUCAGUGUUUGAAUCUGGCUGUCGAGAUGAGGCACCAUCGCCAGGUGUUCUCAAAUCCAUUUCAUGGAGACAAAGAAUGAGGGAAAGGAAACAUAAGAAUGAAACUCUCAGUCUCCAGAUGAUGGUAGAAGAAAUAAAAGAUGAACCGAAUGAGGUUAUCCAGAAGGUGAUCCUUCAUCCAAAGGGUGUGAUGCUUUGGUCAAAGAAAAGCAUUGACAUAUUCCACCAAAGAUGUAAAGAAGACAUAAUAUAUCUUGAUGCAACAGGAAGCAUUGUGAAGAAAAGUAAACACAGCACAGGUCCUUUUUACGUAUACGAACUGGUGGUCAGAAACCCAAAUAAGGGUUCCUCCCCUUUUCCAGCAGCUACGUAUGUGACCUGCGACCACACUACCUCAUCUGUUCUGUAUUUUCUCAGUGCUUUCCAGACAGACCAUGCCAAGCAAUAUGGACACAAAAACAUCAGACCACUGAUGAUUAUAUGCGAUGGAUCGAUGGUCCUCAUGCAGGCCAUCUCACUCGGCUUUUGCCAAACCAACCUCAAUGCCUUGCUCCAAAGUUAUUAUCAAAUACUGACAGGGAAAGGCACUGCUGAAGACUUCAGUUUUCCUAUCAUCCACCGUUGUCUAAGCCACAUAAUGAAAAAUGCUAAAUCCCUGUGCAAAAAGCAUGCACCCAAGAACUACAAGCUGGCCAUGCAUGUUUUUGGACUUUUGACCACAGCAAGUUCCAUUGUUGAGUUUGAUGAAAUGCUCCUCAGCUGCACUGUCGUCUUCUCAAGCCCAUGCAGCUCUGACAAUGUUGAAAAGCACUUUAACAACAUCCAGACUUUAUUAACCAACAUUGGGGAAUCCGCUGUUGAUGACAGCAAUAUUGUUCCUGAGGACCUUGAGGUACACAGUAAAAACAUUAAAUAUGUCUUGAAAUAAUGUCUUUUGCUGACAUGAUUAGAAUCAAUUAAAACAUCAUGUAAAAUGUCUUAUUUAGGACACCUGCAGUCAAACACCUUUUCACAAACAUUUCAUGGAGGUCAUAUGCACUGCACCUCUCGACCAAACAGGGGAUCCUAAUGUGUACUACAGCGAGACAUUCAUCUCAUCAUUGGCUGACUACUUUUUGCCUCAUGCAGCUCUCUGGACAAGCAUGAUGCUGGGUCAGUUACACUUUUUAUGAUAAAAAAGAUAGCUUAAACGUAUAUUUGGUUAUUCACAAUAAUUUAGGUGUAGAGUUGUACUUGACCGAAUAGUAUGUAUAUCAGAUGUCAGUAGUACAUUUGGCCCAUUGCUAGACAUGGACAAAUAAUGUCCAUGUGGGUCAGUCAGCUGAUCAAAUGCUUGCUCCACAACAAAUAUCAAAAUCUAUUAAUUACAUACAAAUUACAUUUGUUAUGCAAAUUAAUUAUUCAAGGGUCUUUGAUAUGGUCAGUUUUGGUUUCAUAACCUUUCCUCUGCUUUCACCAUCAGAGCAAAUUUUCAACUUUGUACAUAGCUUGUGUUCGAAGUACUGUACAGAUAUGAUGUAGAGUAUGAUGGAUGCAGAAAUAUGUCCUUAAACCAUGACCAAACAAGAUGUAAAACUACUGUGUUAUACUGUAUCUUCAGGAGACCUGGGCAGACAUGGUGAAGGACCCCCAUACCAGCUUUUCUCAACGAAAUUUUCUAAGAUUUCAAAGAAAACAAGCCAGGUGUUGAAUAAUUUGGGUGAAUACAUGCAAUCUAAUGUUUAAAUGUUACAACUUAUUACUUACUUUUAUUUUAUUUGCAGAAUUUCACAAAGGACAACAAGACACAGGGAAUUAUGGAAAAGAGUCAGUGGGACUUGAAGAAAAUUCGCUUUAAAGGAAAACGACUGACCAGACUUGAUGACUUUAUAAGGGCCUACAGAGACACACACAAUGCACUUCUAAGGGAAUUUAAGGAUGCGGAACGU
ensembl:lncRNA